AUCGCCGCUGCCAACCUAUCUAUUGCUGCAAGCUAUCCCUCGCUGCUAAGCUAUCGCUGCCAACCUAUCUAUCGCUGCCAACCUAUCACCGCUGCCAAUCUAUCGCCGCUGCCAACCUAUCUAUUGCUGCAAGCUAUCCCUCGCUGCUAAGCUAUCGCUGCCAACCUAUCUAUCGCUGCCAACCUAUCUAUCGCUGCCAAUUUAUCUACCACUGCCAAUCUAUCUAUUGCUGCUAAUCUAUCGCUGCUGUCAAUCUAUCUAUCGCUGCUAAUCUAUCGCCGCUGCCAAUCUAUCCCUCGCUGCUAAGCUAUCCCUCGCUGCUAAGCUAUCCCUCACUGCUAAGCUAUCUCUCGCUGCUAAGCUAUCCCUCGCUGCUAAGCUAUCCCUCGCUGCUAAGCUAUCCCUCACUGCUAAGCUAUCUCUCGCUGCUAAGCUAUCCCUCGCUGCUAAGCUAUCCCUCGCUGCUAAGCUAUCCCUCACUACUAAGCUAUCUAUCACUGCUAAUCUAUCGCUGCCAACCUAUCUAUCGCUGCCAAUUUAUCUACCACUGCCAAUCUAUCUAUUGCUGCUAAUCUAUUGCUGCUAAUCUAUCGCUGCUAAUCUAUCGCUGCUGCCAAUCUAUCUAUCGCUGCUAAUCUAUCGCCGCUGCCAAUCUAUCCCUCGCUGCUAAGCUAUCCCUCACUGCUAAGCUAUCCCUCACUGCUAAGCUAUCACUGCCAAUCUAUCGCUGCUAAUCUAUCGCUGCCAACCUAUCUACCGCGGCGAAUCUAUCUAUCGCUGCCAAUUUAUCUACCACUGCCAAUCUAUCUAUCGCUGCCAAUCUAUCGCUGCUAAUCUAUCGCUGCUAAUCUAUCACUGCUAAUCUAUCACUGCUAAUCUAUCGCUGCUAAUCUAUCGCUGCUAAUCUAUCGCUGCCAACCUAUCUACCGCGGCGAAUCUAUCUAUCACUAUCAUUACUAGUUCAAAAUAGAACUAGAGCAUAAACACACUAAACUUCUUUUGAUAGGUAAUGAUUUUUGGUAACGCUCAUAGCAUUAUAUCAUCUAUAUAGGGUAAAUCAUGGUCCCAUUUGGUCCCAUUUUAACAAAAUGGGACCAAAUGGGACCAGAAUCAGUAAUUUAUAAGAAGAACAUGACCUGGGAC
rnacentral:sRNA from 1 species